rnacentral:rRNA from 1 species
AUUGAACGCUGGCGGCAGGCUUAACACAUGCAAGUCGAGCGGGGGAAGGUAGCUUGCUACCGGACCUAGCGGCGGACGGGUGAGUAAUGCUUAGGAAUCUGCCUAUUAGUGGGGGACAACAUCUCGAAAGGGAUGCUAAUACCGCAUACGUCCUACGGGAGAAAGCAGGGGAUCUUCGGACCUUGCGCUAAUAGAUGAGCCUAAGUCGGAUUAGCUAGUUGGUGGGGUAAAGGCCUACCAAGGCGACGAUCUGUAGCGGGUCUGAGAGGAUGAUCAGCCACACUGGGACUGAGACACGGCCCAGACUCCUACGGGAGGCAGCAGUGGGGAAUAUUGGACAAUGGGGGGAACCCUGAUCCAGCCAUGCCGCGUGUGUGAAGAAGGCCUUAUGGUUGUAAAGCACUUUAAGCGAGGAGGAGGCUACUUUAGUUAAUACCUAGAGAUAGUGGACGUUACUCGCAGAAUAAGCACCGGCUAACUCUGUGCCAGCCGCCGCCGUAAUAC